rnacentral:rRNA from 1 species
CCUACGGGUGGCAGCAGUGAGGAAUAUUGGUCAAUGGACGAGAGUCUGAACCAGCCAAGUAGCGUGAAGGAUGACUGCCCUAUGGGUUGUAAACUUCUUUUAUAUGGGAAUAAAACGUUCCACGUGUGGGAUUUUGUAUGUACCAUAUGAAUAAGGAUCGGCUAACUCCGUGCCAGCAGCCGCGGUAAUACGGAGGAUCCGAGCGUUAUCCGGAUUUAUUGGGUUUAAAGGGAGCGUAGGUGGAUUGUUAAGUCAGUUGUGAAAGUUUGCGGCUCAACCGUAAAAUUGCAGUUGAAACUGGCAGUCUUGAGUACAGUAGAGGUGGGCGGAAUUCGUGGUGUAGCGGUGAAAUGCUUAGAUAUCACGAAGAACUCCGAUUGCGAAGACAGUUCACUGGACUGCAACUGACACUGAGGCUCGAAAGUGAGGGUAUCAAACAGGAUUAGAUACCCCAGUAGUC